AAUCAUCAAACCCGUUCGGUUUCACCGCCGAGCGUGGUUUGGAUUUGGGGGCUUGCCGCUUCGCCGCGGCUCCCCUUAAAUGAAUCGGUCUCGGGUCUCUGUGGGAGUAACCCCUUGGGCGUUGUAUAACCCUCGCUGUCUGGGAACUCCUCGCGACGUUCGCGUUGUCGAAGGGCCUUGAAGGAACCUAGACCUGCCGUAGAGUGGCGGUCAAUGUUAAAUCGAGAU
rnacentral:misc_RNA from 1 species